GCAAAGGUAGCUUAACGGAUUAAAGCACAGCACUGAAAAUGCUUCAAAGGGGGUUAAAGUCCCUCCCUUAGCA
rnacentral:tRNA from 8 species